AUCCAGCUGACGAGUCCCAAAUAAGAUGGAACGCGCGUUCUAGAU
rfam:Schistosoma rodhaini strain Burundi genome assembly, scaffold: SROB_scaffold0009579